rnacentral:rRNA from 1 species
CAGGCCUGGCUGGACGGUCCCCCCUUCGGGUGAGUACUGUCUGUGGUCGGGUCGAUCCUUCUGGCGAAGCGUCAUGGCCUUAACCGGCCGUGGCGGGGAACCAGGACUUUUACUGUGAAAAAAUUAGAGUGUUCAAAGCAGGCAAUCGCUUGGAUACAUUAGCAUGGAAUAAUGGAAUAGGACAAUGGUUCUAUUUGUUGGUUUCUAGGACCGUUGUAAUGAUUAAUAGGGAUAGUUGGGGGCAUUAGUAUUCAAUUGUCAGAGGUGAAAUUGUUGGAUUUAUUGAAGACUAACUACUGCGAAAGCAUUUGCCAAGGAUGUU